GACGAACGCUGGCGGCGUGCUUAACACAUGCAAGUCGAACGGUAAGGCUCCAGCUUGCUGGGGUACACGAGUGGCGAACGGGUGAGUAACACGUGGGUGACCUGCCCUGCACUUCGGGAUAAGCCUGGGAAACUGGGUCUAAUACCGGAUAGGACCAUGGUGUGGAUACUGUGGUGGAAAGUUUUUUCGGUGUGGGAUGGGCCCGCGGCCUAUCAGCUUGUUGGUGGGGUAAUGGCCUACCAAGGCGGCGACGGGUAGCCGGCCUGAGAGGGUGGACGGCCACAUUGGGACUGAGACACGGCCCAGACUCCUACGGGAGGCAGCAGUGGGGAAUAUUGCACAAUGGGCGGAAGCCUGAUGCAGCGACGCCGCGUGGGGGAUGACGGUCUUCGGGUUGUAAACUCCUUUCACCAUCGACGAAGGGUUUCUGACGGUAGAUGGAGAAGAAGCACCGGCUAACUACGUG
rnacentral:rRNA from 1 species